rnacentral:rRNA from 1 species
GAUGAACGCUGACAGAAUGCUUAACACAUGCAAGUCUACUUGAACUUCGGUUUGGGUGGCGGACGGGUGAGUAACGCGUAAAGAACUUGCCUCACAGAUAGGGACAACAUUUGGAAACGAAUGCUAAUACCUGAUAUUAUGAUUUUAGGGCAUCCUAGAAUUAUGAAAGCUAUAUGCACUGUGAGAGAGCUUUGCGUCCCAUUAGCUAGUUGGAGAGGUAACGGCUCACCAAGGCGAUGAUGGGUAGCCGGCCUGAGAGGGUGAUCGGCCACAAGGGGACUGAGACACGGCCCUUACCCCUACGGGAGGCAGCAGUGGGGAAUAUUCGACAAUGGACCAAGAGUCUGAUCCAGCAAUUCUGUGUGCAAGAUGAAGUUUUUCGGAAUGUAAAGCGCUUUCAGUUGGGAAGAAAAAAAUGACGGUACCAACAGAAGAAGUGACGGCUAACUACGUG